UAUUUAUUUAUUUCUCUUUAUAUUUCCACAUUUAUUUAUUUAAUUAUUUAUUUCUCUUUAUAUUUCCACAUUUAUUUAUUUAUUUAAUUAUUUAUUUAUUUCCCUUUAUAUUUCCUCAGUCCACCAAGAAAAGGAAAAAUGCAAAUCAGUUUGCUCUGGGCGGGGAUUCUGAACACAGGAGUCCUGCCUGACACCAGCUCCCAGCACGGCUGAAGUGAAGCCAUGUCACCGUUGAGCUUCGGCUUAUUCUGCCACUGAUAAGAAAAUAAACAUUAAUUUUCCGAAUUAGCAGCGUCCUUUCAGUGUCUGAUGGCAGAAUCAGCCGAAGCUCCACGGUGACAUGGCUUCACUUCAGCCGUGGUCGGAGCUGGCGUCAGGAAAGAAGCCUGUGUGCGGUAGGACUCCCCACCCUGAAAGGAAGCCCCGCCCAGAGCAAACUGAUUUGCAUUUUUCUAUUUCAUGGUGUCAGGCCAUUAUAAAAUAACCACCAAGAAAUUAAAACGCAAAUCAGUUUGCUUUCACUUGGUGGACUGAGCUGUCAAUCAAAUGGCUCUAGGCGGGGCUUCCUCGUCGUUCCUGAUCACAGGCAUAUGAAGAGUACAUACGACACGCCCCUCUGAGCGGCGUCCCGACGGAGACGCUAAGCGAGUGGGGGCAAAGUUUCAGUGUUUUCCAUUGAUGUGUACGGCACGAAAAUUAAAACAAGAAGAAUGCCGGCUCAUUGUGCGGCAUACAGUUCCACACUACAUCGGACGAUCAAGACAAGGAAACUUGGAAUAACUUUCCACAGGUUUCCCAAAGACUAUGGGCUGAGGAAGAAGUGGAAGCAGCUCUGAGGAGAGAGGGGUUUGCUGCAAGUAUAUAACAGCCUAGAGAGAGAGAUAAAUAAAUAAUAAUUAUUAUUAAUAAUAAUUCUGUUGUUUAUUGUAAUUGUGGUUGUCUUUACGUUGCAUUUAUUGAGAUAAUUUGUCCUUGUUCCUUAUUACUGUAGCAUUGCUGUAACUACCUAUAAUUAUAAAUUUCUAUUCAUAUUUUCACUGUGACUUUUAUAGACGGCGAAUCGUGAUCCAUGCAGGAGUGGAUGGAUUUAGCAGGCUCAUAGUUUACAUAGGAGCAGCUACAAACAACAAAUCCACCACUGUUCAGGUCAGCUGUUGCUCAGUAUGGCUUACCAUCUCGUAUGUUGUGUGAGAGUCCAAAUAA